CCUACGGGAGGCAGCAGUGAGGAAUAUUGGUCAAUGGACGAGAGUCUGAACCAGCCAAGUAGCGUGAAGGACGACUGCCCUAUGGGUUGUACACUUCUUUUAUAUGGGAAUAAAAUGUUCCACGUGUGGGUUUUUGUAUGUACCAUACGAAUAUGGACCGGCUAACUCCGUGCCAUCAGCCGCGGUAAUACGGAGGAUCCGAGCGUUAUCCGGAUUUAUGUGGUUUAAAGGGAGCGUAGGUGGAUUGUUAAGUCAGUUGUGAAAGUUUGCGGCUCAACCAUAAAAUGGCAGUUGAAACUGGCAGUCUUGAGUACAGUAGAGGUGGGCGGAAUUCGUGGUGUAGCGGUGAAAUGCUUAGAUAUCACGAAGAACUCCGAUUGCGAAGGCAGCUCACUGGACUGCAACUGACACUGAGGCUCGAAAGUGUGGGUAUCAAACAGGAUUAGAUACCCGAGUAGUC
rnacentral:rRNA from 1 species